CGCUCUCCGGUUGUCACGGUAAGGAUUCAGCUCAUCUUUUAAUCGUAAUCAGAGACAUGUGGAAGCUGAUUGGACGAUUGAAGGCCAAUAAAAACCUUCGGUCUCUCUGCGGCUUCUCCUCGUCAUGGCAACCAAAUGGGCCUCCACGAAAUGGGAGGCGGUGAAGGAGCGCAUGACAGGAAGUCCCGGCAACGACCCGGACGCCUCGCUGGAGGCCAAUCUGGAGAACGCUGACCCCGAGCUCUGCAUCAGACUCCUGCAGCGACAUGGAUAGAGUCUACCCCA